UACGGGGGGGGUAAGCGUUGUUCGGAAUUACUGGGCGUAAAGGGCUCGUAGGCGGCCAACUAAGUCAGACGUGAAAUCCCUCAGCUUAACUGGGGAACUGCGUCUGAUACUGGAUGGCUUGGAUUCGGGAGAGGAAUGCGGAAUUCCAGGUGUAGCGGUGAAAUGCGUAGAGAUCAGGAGGAACACCCGUGGCGAAGGCGGCUCCCUCGGUCCGUUACUGACGCUGAGACGCGAAAGCGCGGGGAGCGAACGGG
rnacentral:rRNA from 1 species